rnacentral:rRNA from 1 species
CGGGGUGCAGCAGGCGCGAAAACUUUACAAUGCACGAAAGUGUGAUAAGGGAAUCCAAAGUGCUCAUGUUUAACAUGGGCUUUUGCCAAGGGUAAAUACCUUGGAGAAUAAGUGGUGGGUAAGACUGGUGCCAGCAGCCGCGGUAACCCCAGCGCCACAAGUGGGAGCCACAAUUAUUUGGCCUAAAGCGUCCGUAGCUGGUUAUGUAAAUCUUUUGUGAAAUCGGAAGGCUCAACUUUCCGGCGUGCAGAAGACACUGCAUAACUUGAGAUUGGGAGGGGUAAGGAGCAUUCCUAGGGAACCGGUAAAAUGGGAUAAUCCUAGGAGGACUACCUGUAGCGAAGGCGCCUUACCAGAACAAGUCUGACAGUGAGGGACGAAGGCUAGGGGAGCGAACCGGAUUAGAUACCCGAGUAGUCCUAGCAGUAAACUCUGCGGGCUAGGUGUUACACCAUCUAUGUGAUUGUGUAGUGUCGUAGCGAAGGCAUUAAGCCCGCCGCCUGGGAAGUAUGGUCGCAAGACUGAAACUUAAAGGAAUUGGCGGGGGAGCAC